GUAUAUAAAGGCGAAUUUUAUGUUAAUAUCUGACGUAAAAAUGUUGAAUUUAAAAGUAUAAUACUACAUUGGCUAUAGUAUAUUUCGAAAGCUUGGUCGAAGGACGUUGAUUUUCCAUGUAUAUCGAAAACAAAUCGCGUAGGUACAAUAAUGCUUUACAUUCGAAUAAAAUUUAUACAAAAGACGAUGCAAUAAUUCUUUGUUCUCAGGGGCACAAUCCAUUUGUUGACAUUUUUUAUUUCCUUUAAUUUUGUCUAUUAUUUUUUCCCUUUAUUGUUUGGUCUAAAUUGAAUAAGUACACGUAUUUUAAAAAUAAAUUUAUUAAUUCAUGUAAAAAGUUUACGUAUUUUCAGAAUUGAAUUAGCUUGUAUUGAAAAUUAUACAAAAUUGAUUUAAAACCUUCUCUGGAACCAAAGAACCAAUAAAAUAAAUAAUAUAUACAUAAGUCUAAAUAUUGAUGUUAGAUUAAAUACGUGGCAGAAUUAUUUAUCUAUAUUAAUACGUGAAACAUAAAUUUG